GAGGAGUAACUUGCCUGAGAAUAUGCACU
rnacentral:piRNA from 1 species